AUUAGCACAAGAGUGUUGGCUCUGAACAAUAUACAGAAAUAGGGAAAAGUAGUUUUCUAACAAAAGAAUUAUGACAGUCAGGAGAGUGGAAAUUAUUUCUGUUCUUUUUAUUAUUUUGUGGCAAUUCCAAGAGAAAAAUGUAAUUUGAGAUAAUGUGAAACAGAAGACUUUUAUAGAUAUUAAAUUAAUAUAGCAGAGAUGAUUUUAAAACAAAGCCAGUUUCAGUGUAUUUUCCAACGCAUUUAUUUCUUUAAAUAAAAGCAGAGUGAUGAAUUAAGGAGGAGCUUUAGCAACAGCUCUGAACCAGUGAAAAAGAUGAAGAAGAAAGGCUGGGAGGAUCAGGAGCAUGAACAAGAUGUGGCAGAGCAGUCAUCUCUGGUACCUUGGGUGAGAGCACAGGAAGAAAGCCAUGGUCUCGCCCUUUGCUUGAGAAUGUCUGAGCAAUGAUGAACUCCGUGACCUUGGGAUGUUACCUUACUCAGUAAAAGCCAAGAAAAACAAGAUCUGCAGAGGUGGAAGUCCUUCAGAGAACACACCUGGCAACAGAGGCAACCAGGAAGAUAUCGUUGGAGCAUUCUGUUUGGAAGAGUAUCCAGGGACAGGAGUUUUCAGUGAAGGACUAUCAGCAACCACAGUAAUUGCCAGCUGAAAAUAAUCCAGCCAUUUCCAAGUAUAUCUUCUCAUUACCAUUCGAACAGGCCUCUCAAAUCUCCUCCAAAAGGGUCCUCAAUGUAGUUGUUUUGCCAAGCAUUUGCUUCUGUUGGAUCAAACUCCUUGCUAAUGUAGACUUAGUCAAAGACAACAAGACAUGUUUCACGCUGGCUCUGAAGUCUCUGAGCAGUAUUUGUUAGACCAUCACAAUACUGGCAUGCAGGCUUUUAGGGGAGGUUCCGGGGGUGAACUUUUGGUGUUGUGAACACAGUGACCUCCUAGAAAGUAUUUUGCACACCUAAGUGAGACAAGGAAUGGUAGAACCCUAAGACAGAAUGAUAUUUGCAAAGAAGGAGGCAGUGCAGCUGCUGGAAAAUGGAAGUUGAAAAGUAGCAUCGAAGGAAAUCUUUGUAAGCUAGUACAGUUUUCAAGUGUCCACGUAUCACCUCAAGUAAUCUCAUUCUCUUCAUAAAACAGGCAUUCCUGGACAGUUAAGAAACAUGUUUAAGCUUUAAGGACAAGAACAGAAACAUCAGAAACUAUUAAUUAGGUUAGGCAACUUUGGGAAAUCUGUAUAAUAAAAAUAACCAUAUUCAAUCAUGGAAGAAAUAAAGGUCUCUCAAUAGGAUCCCUGUGUUGGUAUAGUGUCAGCUACGAAAUAACAAUGUGACUCCUGGGAUUCAAUGGACAUACGCACUGUAAAGUGUCGUAGAAACUAAGCAGAUGCAGAACUGACUGAUCUUGAUAUAAUAAGGAUUAAUUAAAGUAAGGAAAAGAUUGGCUAUAGGGCUUCUGGGAAGAUAUGUUUAAAAUAUCCUAUCUUCUAAAAUGUAAUAGCUCAAAGUUGUCAUAACUGAAGGUGAGAAGACAACAUCAGAAGAUUGGAGUGAAAAACAAAGUAGCUUAUUUUUUUCAGUGGGUGCUGAAAAAAAGCUUAAAAUUUUGAAGGACAAUAAUAGUCUCAGAGCCAUACCUUACAUACCAGUAGAAAAGGCUUACUGUGCCUAAAAAGAGUUUACUGAAAUAUCAUUAAGUGACAUCAAAAAUUGUAAGAAUCUAAAUGCUUUAAUUUUUCCUCACACGUGUAUGGAUUUUAAUUCCUGCUGGGUCUUUCACAGUAUUAUUACAUUGCUGCCUGCAGGAGUAUAGCAAGUCAGUCAUUAGAUAUCAGAUACUAAAUAAAGGCUUUGUUAUGUAGGGCACAAAAUACAAAAUUGGCUUCCAAUCGUUUUCAAGCUCAAUUUUUCCAUAAUUCCUCUGUUUGUACUGAGGAAUCAGAAGCCACCUUUCAAGCCACUUGAGGUGAAAUGCGGGCCUUGCAUGGCAUGACUCUUCCAUGUUAAGUCAAAAUGCUUCAUUGAUGUUCUUUUCCAAAUUCUAUUCCUUGCUUCUCACAGUACUUUCUAAGAGUAAAAUCUCAAUCACCUCUGUCCUAGCAUUUUCUCUGGAAUCUAUCAAAUAUAGAAAUUACUGUCAAUGUUAGUAUUUUCUGUUUUUCUUUCAAAUUCACACAUUGCUUCAAAUAUGUAUUUUUAAGAUACACGGUAACUUCUAUUUUGACAAAAUACGCAUCCCCUCGCCAAAGUCUUACCCAAUAACACUUUCCUUCAGCAACACUUCUCUUCCUUGCUAUUGAAUAAUAAUUAACAGAAACACUAGAAGUCCAAGGUCAAAGUCAUCACCACAUUAUGACAGUUCAAGUUCUGUACAUCACCUUGAGAUGCCAUUUUUUGUAAAAAUACAGUGUGGAUUGAAAUUGUUGAUAUUCUCAUGGCCAUAUUGCUGUAAUAAUUCACAGGUUAUUUUUUAUCAGUUUUCCACCUUUCAGUUUCACUUAGUUUUAGUUCAAAAAGCCUUUGCUGUCUAUCUCAGAUGUUAUAUUUGCACUUUUACCAAUAAUCAUCACUUAUCAGCUUUCAUGUUUCAGAUUACCAGAAUUUUCACUCCUACAGUUUCAGUUCUUCAGGCCAUAUCAGUAGUCCUUCAUCAAUAGCAUUAGAGAGCUAUGUAUGAGAUCAGUUUUAUUUUGUUCUACCAGUCAUCUUUUUCACUUUAUCUUUCUAUUUACCAGGUUACAGCUGCCUGAGUCUAAUAAAUAUUCAUUUGAUUAUUUUCAAGUCAGUCACAUUUUGACCUGUUUAGGUCAAGAGACUUAAAGAGCACUCAUGAUUUUCAGACUGUGUGUUUGUGUGGACUUGUUUCCAAUGUUCUUUUAUCAUCACAAUUAUAUUCCUUUCAUAUUGACCCUUAUUCUAUUAAAUAGCCCUCCACCUUCCCUUAAGAGUUCUUUGUAUACUUAAUGACUGGAUUUUUUUUCUGUUUUCUGAUCCACAUAUGGAAGACAAAAAUUAAUUCCUUUGUUAGGGCACCAUUACAAUGAUCCUGUAAUAUCUUGGGAUAACUGUUCUGUUAUUGUUGGUAAAAACCUGACUUGGAUUUUGUUAGCACAAUGAUGACAGUUGAAAAAAACCAAAACAUUGUAAGUGACUGAUCACUCAUUAGACUUACUUGGCUGCACUUAUUUUUCUUAAUCAUUGAAAAUUCAGUUGUCAAAUAUGUAUAAAUAACUUUUUUCCCCUACCAUAAUUUCUGUCGAUUCAGAAGGGAUCAGAAAAGGUUUCCUUGCUACAUGACAGAUAACUCCAUUCUCUAAUAGUCUGUUCUCUGCAGCUGUUCUUUCACUGCUGUACUGUUCUUUUUCUUCCACUAUUAUUGCAUUACAUUUUUUCUCUGACUAAUAAUCCUGUGGGAUAGAUCCUGCUCACACUCCUCUUCCAUACAGCCUACAAAUUAAAGAUGCAAGAAGCAAUUUCUACAAACGUGGAAUGUUAGAUAUUGUGGUAACAGGGAAUUUAAAAGUAACUGAGGUUUUUUUUGUUCACAUCAAUCCACUUAAUUAAACUAAAAAGAUGAAAAGAGUAAAGAAAAGCAAGAGACAGCAGUGGGUAAAGAUACGAAGUAUAUCAGAACAAAACAAAGGAAAGCCAUACUCAGAAGUGGCAAUGCUUUUCUCAAAAACACUGACUACAUUAAGUGCUUCUCUCUGCUCUGGUAGUGGUGGCCAAUUUAAUCCUGUGUAGCUGGAGAUAUUCAGGAAGUCUCCUACCGAUAUUAAUGACUAUUAACAAAAAUACUUGCUCAGACAGGCUUUAAAAGAUUAAAUAUAAAAUUUGAACUUAGCCUUUCAGCAGAUGAUGUCGCAUCUCUGCAUAAAUACUUGAUUUGAUGGCCCAUAGGUGUUUGCUUACAACUGUAUAUUCUAAGCAGGUAAAAACAUUUGUACGUGCUUGGCUUAAAAUGUUUCAUGUUUAAUAAUCUAGUUUAGGCCACACAACAAAUCAGUGACAGUAAGCAGCUGGCAUUCAACAGCGUUAUUGGUUUCAAAACUCCCACUGACUUAGUAGAUGUGAUAUGGCCAGUCUUCCCAAUAAUCCAGACAAUACUGCUGUGGAUCAAGGAACAUUUUAUGCCACUAAUUCCAAUUAGUGAAUAGGGAAUAGAAAAUCCAUAUCCUAUGACUUGUUACUGAGUACAGAACUGCAGCAGUGUUCUCAUCAGAAAGAAUAUAAGGAAAACAAACAACAGGUCUUCCUUUAUGCAGAUUUUGAUCAGGAAUUUGUGGUAAGAAUUUGCUUGUACCAAAUCAUGUGCUGCACAUGUAAGGACUCGAUGGUUUAAAAUGCCUCUGUCUUUAAUGUUUUGUUUCUGCAUUUGCAAUGUGAGAUUUUACUUUGAAUAAAGUAAUAAAUUUUAGAUUGAUUCAAAGUUUCAAAUUGUUCUUCAUACUUAGAUUACAGUUUAAUCAAAGUGACUAUUUCAAUAUUGCCAUGUUGUACAAAUGAAACAACUGAAAUUAUAUUUUUGUUUUGAUGUGCAUUGUUAAUAGAUAAGAAAGAAAAAGAAGGAUUUUUUCUACAGCCUAGUUUGCCCUGGAGUCCCAAAUGUAAUUUUGGGUUAGUCUAUUGGUUACCUGAAGGUCUCUAUACCUGUCUACACAUGCAUUUUUUAUUAGUUUAGCUGCCAUUAUAAUAAGGUUUCCUGCACAAAUCUCCCAACUCUGAUGGUAUCAAUUUAUUUCUAGAGUAUUCUAUUCUAAUGAGCACCUUAACACAAGGCAAAUGUCCUUGCUUCCCAAUAGGAAGGGAACUGGAUGUUUUCAGUAUAAUAGAGUUGGAAAGGGAAAGUAGACUGAUGUUAGUGCACCUGCACAGAAAAGAUAAAAAAUUGUGUGAAUAACUUGGAUGCGUGUGCUAAUUCUUGAUGUAUAAAUGUUAAUUAAAGAUUUGCUGGAAAUGAAAAA
ensembl:lncRNA